UUUGAUUGCCGGGACACCGGACACAUUUUUAAAACAAGAAUAUCAUACCCCAAAGAUGAUUGUUGCCAAGUUUGGAUUAAUUUUGCCCAGUAGUUUCAGAGGAGAAGAUUUUUGUAAAAGCAUUUUUCUCAUACGCUACAUUAGAAUUGAAGACAGAUUUCAAGCCAUCACAUUCAUCCUGAAAUAUUUUUUUUCAUCAAUGAACACAUCUAAAUAAUUCAUACAAAUGAACUUCUUGUAAAUUUUUAUUUUUUUUGUAAUUGGAAAAUAUUCUUCCCCUUCCCUCCUGUCCACAGCCAACUCAGACAGAUAUAAAUGUCAAAUACAUAUCGUGUAAAGGAGCACUUCAAUAUUAACAGAAAGUACCUGUACCUUUCUAAUAAUUCCCAUUAACAGUUAAAGUGUUGACACAGAACUAUGUCUCGCUCAUAGGAUGAUGAACGGAAAUUUAAUGAUUUAUGAACCGACGAUACACGCACUGUGAAUGAUAAUGCUGAAUGCAGGAUACCCACAUAUUGAAUGACUCAUAGACGAAUACAAAUGAAAAAAUGCAAGAUGAAUGCACGAUGAGCGAUAAGCGUUUCACGGGGGAUUAACGAAAAAUGAAUGAUGAAUUAUGAACCCACGACACACGUACUGAUAAUGCUGAACGCAUGAUACACACAUGUUGAAUGAUUCAUAGACGAAUACACAAUGAGAAAAUACACGAAAAUAUAUUCGAAAAUCUAUUUCAUCUAGAACGGCAUUAAAAAUUGACAGAUGAUAAUUGAAAUGUAUAAGGGUAUACACAUAUUAGAUAUAUAUGCUUUCAGUGUUGAUUGGUCGGCAAGUUUACUAAACUUUCCAUGCCGUACAUACAUUAUUUGCCGUAUAUUUAUUAGUCCAUUUCCAAUAUAAACUCAUCUAUUUUCAUAAUUUAACUCAAUAUUAAACAAGAAAAAUUA